rnacentral:rRNA from 1 species
AUUGAACGCUGGCGGCAUGCUUUACACAUGCAAGUCGAACGGCAGCGCGGGCUUCGGCCUGGCGGCGAGUGGCGAACGUGUGUGUAAUACAUCGGAACGUGCCCAGUAGUGGGGUAUAGCUCGGCGAAAGCCGGAUUAAUACCGCAUACGACCUGGGGGUGAAAGCGGGGGAUCUUCGGACCUCGCGCUAUUGGAGCGGCCGAUGGCAGAUUAGCUAGUUGGUGGGGUAAAGGCCUACCAAGGCGACGAUCUGUAGCUGGUCUGAGAGGACGACCAGCCACACUGGGACUGAGACACGGCCCAGACUCCUACGGGAGGCAGCAGUGGGGAAUUUUGGACAAUGGGCGAAAGCCUGAUCCAGCAAUGCCGCGUGUGUGAUGAAGGCCUUCGGGUUGUAAAGCACUUUUGGAGGGAACGAAAAGGACUGUGCCAAUACCACGGUUCGAUGACGGUACCCGAAGAAUAAGCACCGGCUAACUACGUG